rnacentral:rRNA from 1 species
AUUGAACGCUGGCGGCAUGCUUUACACAUGCAAGUCGAACGGCAGCGCGGGCUUCGGCCUGGCGGCGAGUGGCGAACGGGUGAGUAAUACAUCGGAACGUGCCCAGUAGUGGGGGAUAGCUCGGCGAAAGCCGGAUUAAUACCGCAUACGACCUGAGGGUGAAAGCGGGGGAUCUUCGGACCUCGCGCUAUUGCAGCGGCCGAUGGCAGAUUAGCUAGUUGGUGGGGUAAAGGCCUACCAAGGCGACGAUCUGUAGCUGGUCUGAGAGGACGACCAGCCACACUGGGACUGAGACACGGCCCAGACUCCUACGGGAGGCAGCAGUGGGGAAUUUUGGACAAUGGGCGAAAGCCUGAUCCAGCAAUGCCGCGUGUGUGAUGAAGGCCUUCGGGUUGUAAAGCACUUUUGGCGGGAACGAAAAGGACUGUGCCAAUACCACGGUUCGAUGACGGUACCCGCAGAAUAAGCACCGGCUAACUACGUG